UAUAGAUAUAAAAUUUGACCAUCCCUAAACUACCCCUGCUUACUCCAAAUAGAGGUGAAAAUAUAUUACAUAUAAAUAUAGGAUAAACAAACCCUAAAUCCCAAAUGGACAAAAUUCAAUAGGCUUUUCGUCUUCUAAAACUCGCACCCAAAAAAAUUGCAGCUUUGGUCAACCUAACGAUGUCGUACGACGACGUGGAGAUAGAGGACAUGCAGUGGAGCGAGGAGUUGCAGGCAUACACAUAUCCAUGCCCUUGCGGCGAUCUUUUUCAGAUAACAAAAGAAGAGCUCAAGAUCGGCGAGGAAAUCGCUCGUUGCCCCAGCUGUUCUCUCUACAUCACCGUCAUCUACAACGCCGAGGAUUUCGCCGACAAAAAUUCAAAUAACAAUCUUGAGCCUCCAAAACGACAAGCCGUCGCCGUUGCUUGAGAACUUUCAGAUGGCAAAUGGCAAAUAUUACACUUGAGUAAAACUGGUUUUAUAGCAGAUUGCAAGAAUGUUUUGUUGGAGAUUAGUUCCUUAUGUGCGCUGUGCUGCUAGCAUUGGUGAGGAAAUUUUGGUAUAUCUGUGGGUGUAUUUAAUUUAACAUUGAAAUCCCUAUGAAUAAAUACAUGAAUUUGGUUUCUUCAGUAA